rnacentral:rRNA from 2 species
CAGCAGCCGCGGUAAUACGAAGGGAGCUAGCGUUGUUCGGAAUUACUGGGCGUAAAGGGCGCGUAGGCGGUUUGUUGAGUCAGRUGUGAAAGCCCCGGGCUUAACCUGGGAGGUGCACUCGAUACGGGCAGGCUUGAGUCCGGGAGAGGAGAGUGGAAUUCCCAGUGUAGAGGUGAAAUUCGUAGAUAUUGGGAAGAACACCGGUGGCGAAGGCGGCCAUCUGGUUCGGUUCUGACGCUGAUGCGCGAAAGCGUGGGGAGCAAACAGGAUUAGAUACCCUGGUAGUCCACGCCGUAAACGAUGYGUGCUAGACGUUGGGGGGCGUAGCCCCUCGGUGUCGCAGCUAACGCGUUAAGCACRCCGCCUGGGGAGUACGGCCGCAAGGUUAAAACUCAAAGGAAUUGAC